rnacentral:misc_RNA from 1 species
CAACAAUCAAGGGUACCAUAAUAUUUGAUGCCAAUAGCACGAUAUCCAUAUCUCCUGUAAACUUCCAUGGACUGCCAAAAUAUAAUAGCUGCUGUUUUUGUAUCCAACUUUGAUUUGAGAUUCUUGUCCUAUAUUCCCUCCUUUCCCCUCUCUCUGAGGUCUGAGUGGGGACUCCCAAGUAAGUUCUUGUGUUGUUUCUUUUAUUCUUAACUGUACUCAGAUAUUGGCACUCCACAAAAGAAGGAGUACUUCCUAUGUGCAGAAACUCCUGGCGCAGCUAAGGCUUGGGUAUCUACAUUGCAUGCGACACAGCUUGUCUUAAAGGCUCACAAAGAGGCUGUGAACUCAUUAAGUGGAAAUGGGUCAGCAAAAUUGGG